rnacentral:rRNA from 1 species
AGAGUUUGAUCCUGGCUCAGAACGAACGCCCGCGGCGUGUUUAAGACAUGCAAGUCGCACGGGACUAUUUGAGCAGCAAUACAAGGAUAGUUUAGUGGCGCACGGGUGAGUAACACGUGAAUUACAUGCCCUGCAGAGGGGGAUAGCCCAGGGAAACUUGGAUUAAUACCCCAUGGUAUCGCGAGAUUAAAGGUGGCCGCAAGGCUGUCGCUGCAGGAUUGGUUCGCGCCCUAUCAGCUUGUUGGUGAGGUAACGGCUCACCAAGGCUACGACGGGUACCUGGUCUGAGAGGACGAUCAGGCACACUGGAACUGAGACACGGUCCAGACACCUACGGGUGGCAGCAGUCGAGAAUAAUUCACAAUGGGGGCAACCCUGAUGGUGCAACGCCGCGUGGAGGAUGAAGGUCUUCGGAUUGUAAACUCCUGUCAUCCGGGAGUAAGACCUGGCGAUGAAUAGUCGACAGGGUUGAUAGUACCGGAAGAGGAAGGGACGGCUAACUUCGUGCCAGCAGCCGCGGUAAUACGAAGGUCCCGAGCGUUGUUCGGAAUCACUGGGCGUAAAGGGAGCGUAGGCGGCGUGGUAAGUCAGAUGUGAAAUCCCGGGGCUCAACCCCGGAACUGCAUCCGAUACUGCCGUGCUAGAGGAUUGGAGAGGUAGCUGGAAUUCACGGUGUAGCAGUGAAAUGCGUAGAUAUCGUGAGGAACACUCGUGGCGAAAGCGAGCUACUGGACAACUCCUGACGCUGAGGCUCGAAGGCCAGGGUAGCGAAAGGGAUUAGAUACCCCUGUAGUCCUGGC